rnacentral:rRNA from 1 species
AUUGAACGCUGGCGGCAGGCCUAACACAUGCAAGUCGAACGAGUGGCGGACGGGUGAGUAAUGUCUGGGAAACUGCCUGAUGGAGGGGGAUAACUACUGGAAACGGUAGCUAAUACCGCAUACCAUCAGAUGUGCCCAGAUGGGAUUAGCUAGUUGGUGGGGUAAAGGCUCACCAAGGCGACGAUCCCUAGCUGGUCUGAGAGGAGGACCAGCCACACUGGGACUGAGACACGGUCCAGACUCCGACGGGAGGCAGCAGUGGGGAAUAUUGGACAAUGGGCGCAAGCCUGAUACAGCCAUGCCGCGUGUAUGAAGAAGGCCUUCGGGUUGUAAAGUACUUUCAGCAGGGAGGCGGUACCCGCAGAAGAAGCACCGGCUAACUCCGUGCCAGCAGCCGCGGUAAUUC